rnacentral:rRNA from 1 species
AACGAACGCUGGCGGCAUGCCUAACACAUGCAAGUCGAACGAGACCUUCGGGUCUAGUGGCGCACGGGUGCGUAACGCGUGGGAAUCUGCCCUUCGGUUCGGAAUAACUCAGGGAAACUUGAGCUAAUACCGGAUAAUGACGUAAGUCCAAAGAUUUAUCGCCGAAGGAUGAGCCCGCGUAGGAUUAGCUUGUUGGUGGGGUAAAUGGCCCACCAAGGCGACGAUCCUUAGCUGGUCUGAGAGGAUGAUCAGCCACACUGGGACUGAGACACGGCCCAGACUCCUACGGGAGGCAGCAGUGGGGAAUAUUGGACAAUGGGCGAAAGCCUGAUCCAGCAAUGCCGCGUGAGUGAUGAAGGCCUUAGGGUUGUAAAGCUCUU